AAACACUUGAUUUGCUUGUAGAACAGGUUUCUCAAGUUCUUGAAGGUCGACUGAAAUUGACAAUGUCACGUAAAGGAAGGCCUUCAUGACAUGUAUAUAAUACAAUUUAAAGUCAAUAAACCAGCUUACAACGACACAUAUUUUCGACUUAACUGGGAGGAUCUACCUGUGAAACCUUAGGACACUGAGCAUUACAGGUAGAACAGGUUUCUGGGAUCCUAAAUGUGGACUGAAAUAGACGAAUAUACAUUAACAAACACCCCGUAGAGGACGGUGUCUGAUACGUGUAUACCAAACCCUUAAAAAUCAAUAAGGCAGUUUGCAACGACAUAGGUGUUCGACUUAACUGAGAGGAUUUACCUGUCAAUCGGUUUUAAAUUGGUUCUGGAGGAACGGAUUUGGUCACUCAGCUGCUCCUACAGUGACCACUGGUCAAAGCAGUUACACUAUUAAUGCUGGAAGUGAUAUCAUACUGGUAUGUAAUGUGAAUAAUAACGGCGCAACCCUGACAGCUGUCAGCUGGACUCGUACUGCAAAUGGACAGACAAUUACAUUAACGAUAGAUGGCACCAAAUACCAAAAUGCAAACACAGGAAACCCAUCUCUUACCAUCACAAGUAGUUCUAGUGCAGAUGAUGGCACUUAUAUCUGUUCUGCAGCAAACAGUGUUGGUACAACAUCAAGCUCUCCAACAGCGUUAACCGUCACAGAUCUUCCGAUUGUAACUAUUGCCCAAACAGCCUUUGUUGCACAGAUGUCGACUACUAUCACUCUCGGCUGUACCGUCUCCUCAUCUACUACAGUCACUUCUGUCUUCUGGCGGCGUGAUGUUGGAUCAGGAACCGAAACAAUUACUAUUGAUGGGGUCAAUUUCUCUGGUUCCUCUGUUCCCAUACCCUCUUUGACUAUCAUCAAUUCAGACACCACCGACACCGGGACCUACCAGUGCUUUGCUAGCAAUGCUGCUGGAACUGGCUCAAGUGACCAAGCUACAGUGACAAUUG